CGUUUAUUCAAUGGUUGAUAGCGAAUAGAAAGUUGUAGGAUUAACUUGAAACUUUUUUUUUUAAUUUAAUUUGGAUUGAUUCUUUGUUGAAAUUAGACUGGUGCUAUUAUCAAUGUUUCUCAGUUUAAUUGCGAGGUUUAAAAUCGAUUGGUUGUAAUUGAAAGUUUAUAUAAUUGAGCCUCUGUUGCGUGUUUCGUUUUGAAAAUUAAAGAUGGGUUUUCAGAUAAAGACUUAUUUUUGAUGAUUGAUUCUUGUUAUAGACGUAGCAGCAAAUUUCAAUCGGCAUAUGUUGAAAAGAUUUUUGUUUUUUUUCGUAGAAUUAUUUUGUUUAUGGAUUUUUGAAGCUUUAUGUUAUGUGUAGGGACAGUUUUUUGCGGUUGGUAGAGCAUGCUUUUAUCUCUUCUAAAUCCUCCUCUCUUCUUUUUUGUUUUUUUUUUCUCCUGUUCUCUGUCAAUGAAUUCGUAAGGACCCUUAUGUCUAUUUUUGUUAUUUGUAUUUAAUAGGUUUGCCAUGUGGGAUUUUUAUAUAUAAUUAAUUCAUUAUAUUUUAAGUUUGAUUGUGGUAAUUUUACAGGUUUCAUCUGGACAUUGAAAAUUUUGUGUGCAAGAUCAUAAACCAAGUUGGUUGUAGUUGUACUAUCUGUCAUAGGUCGUGUUAAUUAUGCAAUGAAGAUGAUUGUGCAUGGCCAAGAUCCUGAUGUUUCUCGAUGGGGUCUCUAUACCCUAAUAGACGUUUGUGCACUUCCAAGUUCUGGUCCAUGUAACAGUGUUACUCAGUAUGAUAUAGAUGAUUGUCAAGUUGGGUACGUCGUAGAAGGUUAUAAUGAAGCAGGACACACAAAUAAUGUAGAGAAUGAUGCGGUUAUAGCACAUGCUCUUCAAGAGGAACUUUCUCAAAUUGCUGCUGCAGAAGCAUCUGGGCUUCACAAACCUGGACAAGAAUCUAUUCUUGAACAGGCCUGGCUUGCCUCUCCAGGAAAAUGCAAUGGUUAUGAGGACCAGAAUGAUCAUCAUAGAAAAAACAAGAUGGAUGAUGCUGAAUGCAGCAAAAAGGAGGCACAUGAUUUUACCAAGUGUGAAAGUGAAGAAUGUGAUGAUAUCCUGAAUUCUUUUUCAUAUCCUAAUGCUGGAGAAGAAUCCAUUCGGAUGGAAGAGGGAUCACAUUCCCUAGAAAUAGCAGAUGAGUCUACUCUUGAUGGUGAAGUGGGUAUGAGACUAAAUCAGAUGGUUCCUGUGCCUCACGUCCCUAAAAUUAAUGGAGAAAUACCAUCGGAAGAUGAAGAGAUUUCAGAUCAUCAAAGGCUGUUAGACAGGUUGAAGGUAUAUAAUUUGGUUGAAAAUAAGGUCCAAGGAGAUGGAAACUGUCAGUUUCGUGCCUUAUCAGAUCAACUCUAUCGUUCAUCUGAGCAACACAAAGUUGUAAGGGAUUGUGUUCUUUCUCAGCUGAAGUCUUACCCCCAGAUGUAUGAAGGUUAUGUUCCUAUGGCUUAUGGAGACUAUCUGGAGAAAAUGAGCAAGACUGGUGAAUGGGGUGAUCAUGUCACAUUGCAAGCCGCUGCAGAUUCGUAUGGUGUCAAGAUAUUUGUAGUAACUUCAUUUAAGGAUACAUGUUAUAUUGAGAUCGUUCCAUUCAUUAAGAAGUCCGAGCGAGGUAAGAUUUUGAAAGCCUUUUGUUUUCUGUUUUGAAACCUUGCGAGACAUUUGGAUUAAUCUAAUGAAACAACAAAGAAGAGCAGUUUUCUUAUAUCAUCUGUGGUAUUGUAUGGAAAUUUCAGAUUUUAAAUUUUAUCAUAUAUAGAAUAAGUGAUCUUUUGUUACUUUUUAGUGGGUUGCCAAUAAAGGCAUAUAGUAUGUCCAGAAAUGUACUAAUAUGAGCAUCCAAUUUUAAUCAAUGUCAAGUGAAGUCAUUCUAUCUUAUGAUUUGAACUGCAGAGUUCUGAGGUUUUCUCAAGAAAGAUUUUCCAUUUCAGCAGUUUUUUUUUUAAUUAUUAUUAUCAUUAUUAGAAGUAUUAUCAUAUUUGGUUGUGCUGGUUUUCGAGCUUCCCUUUAUUCUCCUAGACUUUAUGUUGUGCUCAACUGUUUAAGAUGCUGACUUUCAUAUUUACACUUUUGUUCUGGGCAGUUAUUUUCUUGAGCUUUUGGGCAGAGGUGCACUACAAUUCAAUAUAUCCAGGACGAGAGCUACCUCUUUAUGAAACUAAUAAAAAGAAGAAAUGGUGGACACUUGGAAGCUAAAAAUUUGGUGGCAAAUCUCAAGAUUGUAGAUUGUGGCAGUUCUUUAAUGAUGAAGGAGCUUUUCUUUGGUGGAACUUAUUCCAUUCCUUGUGCAAUUUGGUGAACUAGGGAAGAAUGAAUAGGGCUGAUGACAUUUGAGUGCUGUGUGUAUCCAAUUUAACACCCCUUAUCCUAUUGAUUGUCUGAGUUUCU
rnacentral:misc_RNA from 1 species